rnacentral:rRNA from 1 species
CUAGCUAACUGAAAUCACAAAAUCAUAAUAUGCUAUUGUGAUAACGUAAAGAAAAAUGAUAUACUUUACUAUAAGUGUGUCUAAAUAACUGGUGCCAGAAGACUCGGUAACGCCAGAAACGCAAACGUUAGUCGUCUUAAACAGGCGUAAAGGGUAAGUAGGCUGCUUUAAUUUCUAGUUUGCUCCAGCGGAAUAUAACCGCAAGUAGGACGAACAUAAUAAUAAUAAUCGCUUGAUUUCAAGUAGCUAUUGCUUCGUUUUUAUCUAUAUAAAAAAAAAUAAAGACAAGAAGGUUGCUACUUGCUAGCAAGGUAAUAAAAUAUAAAUGGAUAUAUUUAAAGCUAGAAUCAUAAAGGAGAUAAACCAAAUAAUACUUAAGUGUAAGGGCGAUAUCUAAAAAUACUAAGUAGAAUACUAAAGGUGAAAACUUUUUAUCUGGUAAUGAUUGACGCUGAGGUACGAAAGUGAGAACAGGGAAUAGGAUUAGAUACCCAGUUACCUCUCACCGUCAACGAUGAAUGGUAAUUAUUAAUUUAAUUAAAUUAAUAAUGAUGUUAACGCGAUAACCAUUCCGCAUUGAGAGUACAGUUGCAAAACUGAAACCAAAAAAAUUAGUCGGUCUCGGAGCAA